GCCGUUGGUAGAGCAAAGGACUGAAAAUCCUCGUGUCACCAGUUCACAU
rnacentral:tRNA from 1 species